rnacentral:rRNA from 1 species
AACGAACGCUGGCGGCAUGCCUAACACAUGCAAGUCGAACGAGACCUUCGGGUCUAGUGGCGCACGGGUGCGUAACGCGUGGGAACCUGCCCUUAGGUUCGGAAUAACUCCCCGAAAGGGGUGCUAAUACCGGAUAAUGCCUUCGGACCAAAGAUUUAUCGCCUUUGGAUGGGCCCGCGUUGGAUUAGCUAGUUGGUAGGGUAAAAGCCUACCAAGGCGACAAUCCAUAGCUGGUCUGAGAGGAUGAUCAGCCACACUGGGACUGAGACACGGCCCAGACUCCUACGGGAAGCAGCAGUGGGGAAUAUUGGACAAUGGGCGAAAGCCUGAUCCAGCAAUGCCGCGUGAGUGAUGAAGGCCUUAGGGUUGUAAAGCUCUUUUACCCGGGAUGAUAAUGACAGUACCGGGAGAAUAAGCUCCGGCUAACUCCGUG